UCACACAAGAGACCCAAAUUAACUGUUAUGCGGCGUAAAGAGUGGUGCUAUGAUAUCAUAACAACUAGGAUUGAAAUGCAACUAGGCUGUCAUAAGCUCAAGAUGCACUUAAGGCCUCCCUUAAGAUGAUCCUAGCGUUCCCGAUUGAUUUAACCCCACGAAAGCUAGGGCACAAACUGGGAUUAGAUACCCCAUUAUGCCUAGCCCUAAAUCUUGAUGCUUGCCGUACCAAAGCAUCCGCCUGAGAACUACGAGCACAAACGCUUAAAACUCUAAGGACUUGGCGGUGCCCCAAACCCACCUAGAGGAGCCUGUUCUGUAAUCGAUAACCCACGAUCCACCCGACCACCCCUUGCCAAAGCAGCCUACAUACCGCCGUCGCCAGUUCACCUCCCCUGAGAGCCCCACAGUGAACACAAUAGCCCAAUCUCGCUAACAAGACAGGUCAAGGUAUAGCCUAUGGGGUGGAAGAAAUGGGCUACAUUUUCUACAAUAGAGUA
rnacentral:rRNA from 1 species